rnacentral:rRNA from 1 species
CCCUUAGAUGUUCUGGGCCGCACGCGCGCUAUACUGUUCGACGCAGCGAGUCUUAACCUUGACCGAAAGGUUUGGGUAAUCUUCAGCAAAGUCGAACGUGAUGGGGAUCGAUCAUUGCAAUUAUUGAUCGUGAACGAGGAAUUCCUAGUAAGUGCAAGUCAUCAGCUUGCGCUGAUUACGUCCCUGCCCUUUGUACACACCGCCCGUCGCUACUACCGAUUGAAUGGUUUAGUGAGAUCUCUGGAUUGACGCUGGCUAGGGGGCGACCCUUGGCCAGGCUGUCGAGAAACUGCUCAAACUUGAUCAUUUAGAGGAAGUAAAAGUCGUAACA